CGCUGGUGAAGCGGCUCGUCAGGUUUAUUAGGAAACCUGACAAUUGGAGUGAGAAUCCCAGUGUGGAAAAUCAGGAAAGAGGCUGGUAUGAGCGACAGAGAAGUCAUUCAGGAAAGAGGUUAUUGAAUUCAUUGGAGAAUGAAUGCUGUUCUGAAUUUGGGCUUUGGUUGAUGGACCUUGCACUCAAGUGAGGAGACAGACCAUGCCUUUCAAGUGCAUGCAGCUCACUGAUUUCAACCUCAAGUUUCCACACAGAGCCCACCAGAAGUAUGUCAGACAAGCCUGGCAGAAGGCAAACAUCAAUACAAAAUGGGCAGCCACACGAUGGGCCAAGAAGAUUGAAGCCAGAGAAAGGAAAGCCAAGAUGACAGAUUUUGAUCAUUUUAAAGUUAUGAAGGCAAUGAGGAACAGAAUAAUCAAGAAGGAAGUUAAGAAGCUUCAAAAGGCAGCUCUCCAAAAGCUUCUCC
rnacentral:lncRNA from 1 species